ACUCAAAUGAAUUGACGGGGAGCCGCACAAGCGGUGGAGCAUGUGGUUUAAUUCGAAGCUACGCGAAGAACCUUAUCCAAGGCUUGACAUCCUGGGAAUCCGCUGGAAACAGUGGAGUGCCUUCGGGAACCCAGUGACAGGUGUUGCAUGGCCGUCGUCAGCUCGUGUCGUGAGAUGUUGGGUUAAGUCCCGCAACGAGCGCAACCCUUAUCGUAUGUUGUACUUUUCAUACGAGACUGCCCGGGACAACCGGGAGGAAGGUGGGGUCGAAGUCAGGUCCGCAUGGCCCUUAUGCCUUGGGCUACACACGUGCUACAAUGGCCGGUACAACGGGUUGCCAACCCGCGAGGGGGAGCUAAUCCCAUCAAAACCGGUCUCAGUUCGGAUUGGAGGCUGCAACUCGCCUCCAUGAAGUUGGAAUCGCUAGUAACCGUGGGUCAGCAUACCGCGGUGAAUACGUUCUCGGCUCUUGUACACACCGCCCGU
rnacentral:rRNA from 1 species